GGGAAGCGAGUGGGGGGGAGGAUCUUCUGGAAGCGGCGGUGCCCCUCUGGAUUAAGAUUGCGUUUCUGCAUUAACUCGUGGGUCUUACCUUGGGUGAGGGGGUUGUCCUUUUAUUAUGAUGUUCCCUUUGAUGCUUGCAAUGUUUUUCCUUGGCCCUUCUGCACGGAAGGACGUACAAGUUUGCAGAAAAGGUAAAUGAAAAGCAGGGGAAGUUUGCAGCCACUUGACUCCUGGAGAGGAGUAACCCUUUCCUUGCAGUAGCAGCCUAGGCUUUGAAGCAGCAGCGGCAGAGGUGGCAACGGUGACAGUGGCCUGGCCCGUGGCAGCAACUGCACUUUGUCCCAUCAGUGACUGGCAGAAGGAGGAAAAGUGGGGCUAUCUCGUCCGAGAGCGACUCUGGAGCUGCCUGCAAAGACGUUGCAGGGGGGAAAGACUAAGGGCUCCCCAUCACUUGAGUCAGCAAGCAGUGAAAUGUUCCCAGUGUACAUGGUGGAAGUCCCAGAAUCGAAUGAAGCAAACAUAUAAAUGAGAGACCAGAGAUAAAUAACCUGUGGAUAUUCUUCUCAUGUGAUAUUUAUUCUGAAUGAAGCAUUAAGACAUCUAAUAGAGGUGUACAACUGCUAUUUGCCGCCAGAAGCAUGUUUUCCUUUUAAAAGUGAAUGACUUCAGAUCCUGCUGUGGAUAUAGAUUUUUGCUGCAAGGAAAUAACAGUGAAAAGCUGUUGUUUAAGAAGAGUCCCAUAGACUAGGUGGCCACCAUUCUUCACCUUGGCAGGACCAGGUGUCCUGGGCACAACAUACUGAGAUUGCUGGUACCUGGAGCUCAGGCGUGCCACCAGGGAUAUCCAACACUGAUGGACUACAAGCUAACCUCUGAGUCAGAGCCUGCCUGUCCUGAUGUACUCACCUGGAUCCAGCGGUCUCUGAGGACAAUUAAGAAUACAUUCUGCUACAACACCAAGGCAAACUUAGAUGGCAAAUUUAUGCAUCCCCACAUAUGAGCACUGAAAGUCAAGAUAAAAGUUAUUAGUAAAAGAAAGGAGUAAAGACGGAUUUGGAUGGUGAGGCGGGUUCGAUUGCCUUCAGAAAGAUUGCCACGUGCAUAUUGGACAUGUCAAUCUGAA